rnacentral:rRNA from 1 species
GACGAACGCUGGCGGCGUGCCUAAUACAUGCAAGUAGAACGCUGAAGCGAGGAGCUUGCUCUUCUUGGAUGAGUUGCGAACGGGUGAGUAACGCGUAGGUAACCUGCCUUGUAGCGGGGGAUAACUAUUGGAAACGAUAGCUAAUACCGCAUAACAAUGGAUGACACAUGUGAUUUAUUUGAAAGGGGCAAUUGCUCCACUACAAGAUGGACCUGCGUUGUAUUAGCUAGUAGGUGAGGUAAUGGCUCACCUAGGCGACGAUGCAUAGCCGACCUGAGAGGGUGAGCGGCCAGACUGGGACGGAGACACGGCCCAGACGCCUACAGGAGGCAGCAGUAGGGAAUCUUCGGGAAGGGGUGCAACCCUGACCGAGCAACGCCGCGUGAGGGAAGAAGGUUGUCGGAUCGUAAAUCUCUGUUGUAAGUCAAGAAAGGGUGUGAGAGUGUAAAGUUCACACUGUGACGGUAGCUGACCAGAAAGGGACGGCUAACUACGUG